ACGCACGCUGGCGGCGUGCUUAACACAUGCAAGUCGAACGGAAAGGCUCCAGCUUGCUGGAGUACUCGAGUGGCGAACGGGUGAGUAACACGUGGGUAAUCUGCCCUGCACUCUGGGAUAAGCCUGGGAAACUGGGUCUAAUACUGGAUAUGACCUUUCUCCUUAUGGGGUUUGGUGGAAAGUUUUUCGGUGUAGGAUGAGCCCGCGGCCUAUCAGCUUGUUGGUGGGGUGAUGGCCUACCAAGGCGACGACGGGUAGCCGGCCUGAGAGGGUGAUCGGCCACAUUGGGACUGAGAUACGGCCCAGACUCCUACGGGAGGCAGCAGUGGGGAAUAUUGCACAAUGGGCGGAAGCCUGAUGCAGCGACGCCGCGUGAGGGAUGACGGCCUUCGGGUUGUAAACCUCUUUCAGCAGGGACGAAGCGUAAGUGACGGUACCUGCAGAAGAAGCACCGGCUAACUAUGUG
rnacentral:rRNA from 1 species